UACGGAGGAUGCAAGCGUUAUCCGGAAUGAUUGGGCGUAAAGCGUCCGCAGGCGGUGCUACAAGUCUGCUGUCAAAGGCUGGGGCUUAACCUCAGAAAGGCGGUGGAAACUGUAGAGCUAGAGAACGGUAGGGGCAUAGGGAAUUCCCAGUGUAGCGGUGAAAUGCGUAGAUAUUGGGAAGAACACCAGUGGCGAAAGCGCGUUGCUAGGCCGGGUCUGACACUCAGGGACGAAAGCUAGGGGAGCGAAUGGG
rnacentral:rRNA from 1 species